UACGUAGGCAGCGAGCGUUGUUCGGAGUUACUGGGCGUAAAGCGUGCGUAGGCGGUGUCUUAAGUUUGUUGUGAAAUCUCCCGGCUUAACCGGGAGGGUGCGGCGAAUACUGAGAUGCUGGAGUGCCGGAGAGGUAAGCGGAAUUCCUGGUGUAGCGGUGAAAUGCGUAGAUAUCAGGAGGAACACCUGCGGUGUAGACGGCUUACUGGACGGUAACUGACGCUGAGACACGAAAGCGUGGGGAGCAAACAGG
rnacentral:rRNA from 1 species